CACUGACAUUAGAUACCCCUGUAGUCCUAGGCGUAAAUGAUGCGAGUUAAGUNUGGGGGGCAUCUACGAGAUGGCCCUGUGCUGUAGGGUAGCCGUUAAACUUGCUGCCUGGGGAGUACGGUCGCAAGGCUGAAACUUAAAGGAAUUGGCGGGGGAGCACCGCAACGGGAGGAGCGUGCGGUUCAAUUGGAUUCAACGCCGGACAACUCACCAGGAGCGACAGUUACAUGAAGGCCAGGCUGAUGACCUUGCCUGAUUUUCCG
rnacentral:rRNA from 1 species